AGCAGCCGCGGGAAUACGUAGGUGGCAAGCGUUGUCCGGAAUUAUUGGGCGUAAAGGGCUCGCAGGCGGUUUCUUAAGUCUGAUGUGAAAGCCCCCGGCUCAACCGGGGAGGGUCAUUGGAAACUGGGAAACUUGAGUGCAGAAGAGGAGAGUGGAAUUCCACGUGUAGCGGUGAAAUGCGUAGAGAUGUGGAGGAACACCAGUGGCGAAGGCGACUCUCUGGUCUGUAACUGACGCUGAGGAGCGAAAGCGUGGGGAGCGAACAGGAUUAGAUACCCCUGUAGUCCCUGUCUCUUAUACC
rnacentral:rRNA from 1 species